ensembl:lncRNA
AUGGGACUGUGUUCUCAUAAUGGAUUGUUAGUGAUGCUGCUGUUUCAUCUUUGCCAGGCACAAGAUGAUGCUCUCCCCUCUCCUGACCCUGAGCCGGCCCCACCAAGCCUGGGUGAAAUGAUUGAUGCAGUGAAGGCAGCAUUUGAGCAGGCGGUACAGAUUUCGACAACGGGUGCCAUACGCGAGGCCUUGGAGCAGGUUGUAGAUGAACUCGCGCCACAGAAGACUCAGGCAGAGCAGUCACCAGUGGUGGAGACUGCAGCAGAUUAUACAACAGAAGAAGCAGCUGAAGAGGAGGCAUUGGUGCUCCCUGCAGGAGAACCAGACGUCCUUAUGUCAGAAUCAAGUGAACAGACAUCAGAUCAACCAGCUCAAGAAGGACUGACUCAAGAUAUAGAACCUGCAGAGGAGAUUCAAGAACUGGCCAAGUCAUCAAUUUCAAAGCCAGAAGAGAAAUCGGAAAAGAAACCAAUGGAGCUGGACCUUGAGGCAGUAGAAUCAAUUUUGCAAGACCCUGACAUUGUUGAAAUGGGUGAACCAGUGACUGAGGAAAGCCAUUCAGAGGAAUCACCUGUCCAGUCAUAUCCUGACACACAAAAAGAAAACGAAUCAGGAAGAGGAGCUGUGGAAAUGAACAAGGGAAGCAAGGAGGCUGAAGAUGAAGAUGUAGAAGACCCAGAAAAGGGAUUCAUUGAAAAAGAGGCUCAGUUGUCUGAGUUGGAGGAAAAGACUGCAAAAGGGGAACUAGAGAACGUAGAGGUGACAAUAGAGGUUAAAAUACAUGGACCAGAAGAAGAAGACUCAGAUACAGAAUGGGCUACGGAAUCAGAGCAUAGUCAAGAGGAACGGCAGGCAGUAACAGCACAGAUGGGUACAGAUGGUGGUGUGGCUGAUAUGGAUGAAGUAGAACAGGAAGAGGAACAACAGGAAGUAGCAAAGACUCAAGAAGGUGUGAUUGAAGUCAAAGCAAGAAGAGAGGAGGUAGAUUCCGGAUCUGAGGCACAGCUCCAGAAAGUUUCAACACAGGAGGAGGUUCCUCCAUCCACCAAAACAGUACCAGAGAAAACUCAACAGGAACCAGAGGUCGCUGUGGAUACCAAGGGACCAAUUGAGUUGCAGGAGACUGUUAUUACAAAUUCUAAAGCAACAGGCGGUAAAACAGAUUUUACAGGUAAAACACAUGAGGCCAGUGAUGUAAACGAGAUUAUCACCUCCAGGGACCCGAACAAGAACAAUCAGGGUGUACCGGUGUUGAUGAACACUGUUGAGGAGCUCCCACCAACACCAGUUCUCAAACUGAGGCUCGGAGAUACUGACGCACCAAUAGACUCUACACAGACCAAAGCCACAGUGCAGGAAGCAUGGAAGAUAGGAGCCAUAGCAGCAGCUUUCUUUCUCAUUCUGCAAACUGCUGUCACCAUUGUCUACAUUCUGAAGUGCAGGACGAAGCCAAAUAGUGUUGCCCCAAAGAAGAUCUGUGCUAGAGGAAAUGGAGGUAUAGAAGGUGACACAAACAACACAGAUACCACCGUUCCAAUCGAUGAACAAACCGUUAUAGAUGACCUUCCAGAGUACUCACAGGUCCAGCAAGAGGACGUUGCUAUGACAACUAUGCCACUGGAUUCCAUAGAGAAGAAUUCAUCCUGUGACCCCAGAACCUCUGUUGUUUAACAUUGCUGACCUUAAGGAGUAUGAUUCUUAAUCAUACAAGUGUGUGUAUGUGACUGAGGGUCUGACUGUGUUAUGUGUGUGUGUGUGUGUGUGUGUGUGUGUAUGUGUGUGUGUGUGUGUCUAUAUGUGUAGUGAAUGGUCUGGUUAGCUUUGACACCAAAUGUCACUCCUGUGUUAUUCUUUGUACAGUAGAAUGACCGUUAUUUGUGAAAAAGCAGAGUCAUAUCAGUUUUUAGGUUGGUUUCACAGUUAAAAUAUUUAAAUAUUUGGGGGAAAAAAGAUAAAUGUACUUGAAAAGCAAAACAGCAUAAAAUAUUAAGACUUGUUUUCAUAGAAUAUGUUUCGAUUUUAGCUUUUAUUGAGUGUUUUCUUGUUUAAAACAUCUAACAUUUAACAUGGUUUAUGUUUAAAAUAAACAAAUAAACAAACUAUUUGCCCAUGGGGUAAGAGAAAUAAACAUAACUCAGUAUUUAUUUUGAGAAAAAUAAGUUUUAUUAUAUUACACAGUUUUGCUUCUCAAGUAUAUUUAUUUUAUUUUAAAGAUAUUUGGAUAUUUUUACUGAAAAACAUGAUAAAAUACCUUUCUACCAACAUGUAUUGUCCUGCAAUCCAAAAAUAUAUUUAGGCCUAAAUCUAAGACAUGUAUUUGAGUUGAAUAUAAAAUUCCAUCCAUUUGGACUGAAAAAAAUAAAAAAAAAAUAAAAAAGUAAUAAACUUUAUGUAUGACUGACAAAUAUGCAUUACAUUAAGUAAACAACUAAUAUUUAGUUUUAUGCAUUUCUACAAAUCGCUUCAGAUCAGCUUUAAACUGUUAAUUGUGAAAACACUUACAUUUAUGUGUAAUCCUAAUACAUAAAUCUGAAAUUUAGGCCUAAAUAAAUUUUGGGUUUUGAUUUUUUACUGUUUUGUAUUGUUGAUGCAAUUACUAGUCACACAAAUGUAUUGCAUUAAACAAUUUCCAUAAAAUAUGUAAAAAUAUAUAAAAUCUUGGCAAAGUUUGGCAUAUGUACUAAUUGAAAUGUAAAGAGUUCUGUAUUUAAAACCAUCAAAUGUUAUGUCUUUCUAUCUUUCCUGCACAACCCUCUUGUAACAGACAUGAGACAAGUGUCUUUUCUUUAAUAAAUGGUUGGUUUCUGUCCACUAUUUUGCGUGUUAUGAAAGCAAAGACCACUAAUCUAUCAGACCUUUGAAAAGGUCGAACCAAAAGACGC